UGGGUGAGUAUGCAAACAUAUUUUAGGACAGCAGUCAAAAGAGCUUAAAGAUCACAGGUUUGUGGUCUGAACGUAUUUGUGGGAUUCAAACCCCCCGUAUCAUCAUGCAGCUAGUCACAGAAACACACGCCCAAGUUAACAGUUAAAACUUCUCUGUUUAACUGUGCUAGCCAGCGUUCUUUUUCCCAUAUUAAAUUUUAAUGUUUCAGAAUGAAGAAGCUGCCCGGACCCAGCCCUGUUCCGGGGUCCGGGGUGGCGCGCUAGGCAGCUCAGCUCAGCCUCCUCAGCUGGGCCCCCACUGUGUGCAGCCUUUGUGGACCCAGAUGACCAAAAUCCGCCAGGACGCAGAAUGCUGCCUUGUCUGGAGGACGGCACACAGCAAACCGAAUACUGGGGGAUUGUUAGGGUACAAAUGUGUGCACGUCACCCGCGCGCGUCUCCCUGAAGCCCCAUUCUUCCUGUCUGAAGUCUGACUCACCCGUGGGCGCUGGGGACGGCUCCCAGUAGCCGGCGACGACCACCUGUGGCCCUGAAAUUCUGCACUGAUCCACUCUUCCGAGUCUCCACGCCUCCCUCCCCGUCUUCCAAUUUCUGGGUCCUGCCAUAAACAUUACCCCAACAAAACUAAGGGGAUUUAUUAAGCUCACUUCACCAAAUAAAGAAAGCACGGCUUAGAGAAGUGGCCACACUUUCACAAAGUCAUAUCCCAUAAAAUGCAGCGUCUCCACACACACAGCUUCAUGCCUGCCACCACCCUUUCCUUCUGUCGUUCUUAAAAAUAUCAGUCAGCGCAGUGACUGUCCGAGGCUUAAACAUCUCGGCCAACCUGAGGUUCUGCACCGACCCAUUUGCAGUGUCCAUGUGCAGACGGCUUCCAGGUAUCAAAGGUGCAGAGCCCUCGAGUUAUGACCGGGGCUGACACACGAACAACUUGGGCUAGCCAGGUAAAUGGAGGGCUCCUCUGCCUCUUGUCAUCUAUAGCGUGUACCCAGGCAAACAUCCUGAUCUCAGCUGUACUGACGUACAACCAACUUGAGUCACAAGCAGCCCUUGGGAACAGACCGAGUGCCUCAGUCAGGGGUCCCCUGCGUGGGGCUGGCGGCUCUUGGGGACAGAGGAGAGGAUAUCUCACGGAAGACAGGGGUCAAUCUGCGAAUGACAGCGCGGAGAGGGAGGAGGAGCGAGCACACGAGAAAGUGCAAUGGUUUUGUCCACAGCCACGGAGCAGCGCUUGUAAAACUGCGUACUCUGAGGGCUCGGCAGACCAGAUCAACCGCAGCUACUGCGCGCUGGGGAGAGGCAGAGUGGUUAACGACCCCGGAGACAGGGAGGCCUCAACAGAACUACCGGCUGCGAUCCGACUCCCACUCAAAUACUCAAGGCGUCUGGCUGAACAUUUACAACAAUCAGCAGUCACGAGGGCUGAGAAAGUGUCACGUACCUGGGCUAGCACUGCAACGUCUAUUCAAACUGCUUCCCAAACAGCGAUACUCGGAAGCUUUGCCUCACAUUACAAGAGCUCGGUCUUGCAGCAAUCAUAGGAGGCUGGAUUGCUGGCUCCUUACGGUUCCUUGAAAAGAUUACGGAAUUGCUGGCCUACAAGGUGGGAUACGAAGUGACAUGCGCUGACUGGUCCCCAGCCCAAGCUCCAUGCACAGCAUAAAUUCUACAUUGCCAAGGCCGAUCUGCUGCCAACUGUGUGGACAGUGAACGAAGCAGAAUCUGUCGAACACUGGCUGUGUGUGUGCAGGAGGAAAACUUCCAGCUGGCUGCGUUCCAGCGAUGGUACCUGUCCUGGUGUGAGAUUUUCCUGGUGUUAGAGGGAGUGAGACAGUGGGAGUGCAGUGGGGAGCUGUGCUCAUCCUGAACUCCCCAGGGCUCGGCACUGCCUGAGACUAAACCUACUGCACCCAGAGCGAGGAAGGCCCCCCGGACUUCUGCAACCAAGGUCCUUUUCUUAGGGGCCCCGGGGACGGACCUUCUGUCCUGUUUACACACCACCUUCGAUACGUUUCUGCACUAGCUGCUCACAGGCUGCCAACCACCCUAACACGACAGACCUCCUGGAGCACAGAAAAAACAUUUAGAAAUAACAAAUCCACGGCUGAGUGACUCAGCAACCGGGACGCUGCACUGCACCUCAGUGCUCUGCUCUUGCCUUACCGAAGGGCAGCAAGGAAUAAGGGACACUGGAAAACCUCUUCACCUGGGCGCCCAGGUCGGUUAUGACCAGCAAGGUGGGAAGGACGGUGACAGCUUAGGAGUCCGGGGGCUCUUUCACUCCCUGCUGCCGAGGCGUGUGACUGCCCUGCUGUUCAGCGGCUUGUGCUUCCAUCCCCACGGAGGAGGCCACACAGAGGUACAUCGACACCGUGUGCUGCUGUCCUCACACAAUACCUUCAGUUCUGAGCACCAGGCAGCACGGAGCUCUCCGGCUGGCGGGGGGCUCAGAAGAGGCGGCCUUCCCCUUGCUCCUCUGGUUACCUCUUCUGCUCCUCAGGUCGGGACCAGGUCUCCGCGUCUCAUACUAGCCCAGCCCAGUAACAGCGACCUUCCGGAGGCGAAGGCAUAGGCUGCAACCCAAACCCACUUACUCAUCACAAAGCACCAACACUGCAGUUAAAUCUCAACACUGAGGGUGUAGUUCAGAAAAAAACCCCAAAACUCAUGCAUUAACGUUUUUUGUCUUAAAAGAAAACCAAAUGACACUUGUGC
rnacentral:lncRNA from 1 species